rnacentral:rRNA from 1 species
UACGGGGGGUGCAAGCGUUGUCCGGAAUCAUUGGGCGUAAAGAGUUCGUAGGCGGCACGUAAAGUCUGGUGUUAAAGGCAGAGGCUCAACUUCUGUACGGCACUGGAUACUUGCGAGCUAGAAUGCGGUAGAGGUAAAGGGAAUUCCUGGUGUAGCGGUGAAAUGCGUAGAUAUCAGGAGGAACACCGGCGGCGAAGGCGGCCUGCUGGACCGCGACUGACGUUGAGGCUCGAAAGCGUGGGGAGCGAACAGG